CAAAACAUUCUGAAAUCAAUGUUCAUCCCUAUUGUUACAAGUAAGGAGGACACAUUAGUAUGGGCUUUUACUCCAAAUGGAUAGUUUUUCCAAAGUACAGGUUAUUCCUUCAUACACAACAACGCCCAAACGUGCUCUCAAGGGGAGACGGACCACUUCAAGUGGUUAUGGAAGCUGCAUUAACCAAACAAGAUAAAAUUCUUUACUUGGCUCUUAACCCACAAAUCUCCCUACUAGAGCAUUUCUAAGCUCAGUUGGAGUCAACUGCCCCGCUCAAUGCCAAUAUUGUAAUGAUGGACAAGACGAUAUUGAACACAUUUUCUUCCUAUGCCCUAAUGCUGCCCAUUUUUGGGAUGCAAUCAGGUCAAAAUCCUCACCUACACCCCCUCCUAACCUACGAAACUGCAACCACAUUUGGCAGACAUUUUGGCCAGCUCUCAAAGAAGAGAAAAUCAAUGAAUACCUUUACUGGGCAAUUUUUAUUCCCUUCUGGCUCUGGCAUAUCUAGCUAGCAAGAAACAACAAUGUGUUUAACAAUAGGAAAG
rnacentral:lncRNA from 1 species